rnacentral:rRNA from 1 species
UCCAUUAGAGGAAGUAAAAGUCGUAACAAGGUUUCCGUAGGUGAACCUGCGGAAGGAUCAUUAACGAGUUUGAAAUCGAGAGCCUGUUGCUGGUGCGGAAACGUACAUCGUGCACGGCUCCCGUGCUCAAUCCAUUUCAACCCCCUUGUGCACCUUAUCGAAGUCAGUAGUCUUUCUCUUUUUGUUUGCCGGUUGUGUGCGGGAACCUCUUUCUGUUCACUUGGCCGGCGAGGAGAAAUAGAGGGUCGAAAGCUUUGACUUUUCUGUUAAACACUUUGUAUGUCUUGUGGAACGUAUUAGCUCCUUUGUAGGGGCGAAAUAAAUACAACUUUCAACAACGGAUCUCUUGGCUCUCGCAUCGAUGAAGAACGCAGCGAAAUGCGAUAAGUAAUGUGAAUUGCAGAAUUCAGUGAAUCAUCGAAUCUUUGAACGCACCUUGCGCCCCUUGGUAUUCCGAGGGGCAUGCCUGUUUGAGUGUCAUGUUAAUCUCAAACCCCUUGUCUUUUUUGUUGACUUGGUCGGUUUGGACUUGGAGGUGUUGCUGGCGUGCGUCGGCUCCUCUUAAUUGCAUUAGCUGGACUUUGGUUCGCAUUUGACGGUGUAAUAGUAAAGUGUUCGCCGGGCGUGCUUGCCUAACGGGUCUGCUUCUAAUCGUCUUCGGACAACUCUGUUCAUUUUGACCUUUGACCUCAAAUCAGGUAGGACUACCCGCUGAACUUAAGCAUAUCAAUAGCCGGA